GAUCAUGGCUCAGGAUGAACGCUGGCGGCGUGCUUAACACAUGCAAGUCGAACGAAGCUCUUUGAUCGGAGGAUUCGUCCAAAGUGAUGAGAAGACUUAGUGGCGGACGGGUGAGUAACGCGUGGGUAACCUGCCAUAUACAGGGGGAUAACAGUUAGAAAUGACUGCUAAUACCGCAUAAGCGCACAGUAAGGCAUCUUACAGUGUGAAAAGCCGAGACGGUAUAUGAUGGACCCGCGUCUGAUUAGCUAGUUGGUGAGGUAACGGCUCACCAAGGCGACGAUCAGUAGCCGGCCUGAGAGGGUGAACGGCCACAUUGGGACUGAGACACGGCCCAAACUCCUACGGGAGGCAGCAGUGGGGAAUAUUGCACAAUGGGGGAAACCCUGAUGCCAGCGACGCCGCGUGAGUGAAGAAGUAAUUCGUUACGUAAAGCUCUAUCAGCAGGGAAGAAAAUGACGGUACCUGACUAAGAAGCCCCGGCUAACUACGUGCCAGCAGCCGC
rnacentral:rRNA from 1 species